rnacentral:rRNA from 1 species
CAGCCGCCACGGGAAUACGGAGGGUGCAAGCGUUAAUCGGAAUUACUGGGCGUAAAGCGCACGCAGGCGGUCUGUCAAGUCAGAUGUGAAAUCCACGGGCUUAACCUGGGAACUGCAUUUGAAACUGGCAGGCUAGAGUCUUGUAGAGGGGGGUAGAAUUCCAGGUGUAGCGGUGAAAUGCGUAGAGAUCUGGAGGAAUACCGGUGGCGAAGGCGGCCCCCUGGACAAAGACUGACGCUCAGGUGCGAAAGCGUGGGGAGCAAACAGGAUUAGAUACCCGAGUAGUCCCUGUCUCUUAUAC